CAACACCCCCCUAAUCAUCCACCUGAGCUAAGUUCUGGUCUUUGGGCUAAAGUGGACAGUGGAUUUAAGGAGACUCACCUUUUGAUUGGAAGCUACACAGUACUCUUCCAAAAUCCUUCUAAAAAUGAUAGCAUUCAGAAUAGUAGCCCAGCUCAUCAAAAGACAAUCAUCUGUAAAGAAUAAAUGUGAGAUCAGCUGGACUCCAAGGAUCAAUAUAGUAGCCCGAUCGAUGUUUGGCUUUAGAAACGGUUCAUAUUUCCAUUUUGCUUGUGGCAAACCUUUUAACGGGUUGGGCUAUAUGUGGUUUCUUAUAAGCCUUAGCUUGUGUUUGU
rnacentral:lncRNA from 1 species